CCCAGACUCCUACGGGAGGCAGCAGUGGGGAAUAUUGGGCAAUGGGCGCAAGCCUGACCCAGCAACGCCGCGUGAAGGAAGAAGGCUUUCGGGUUGUAAACUUCUUUUAAGAGGGAAGAGUAGAAGACGGUACCUCUUGAAUAAGCCACGGCUAACUACGUGCCAGCACCCGCGGCAAUCCGUAGGUGGCAAGCGUUGACCGGAUUUACUGGGUGUAAAGGGAGCGUAGACGGCAAAGCAAGUCAGGGGUGAAAGCCCGGGGCCCAACCCCGGGACUGCCGUUGAAACUGCUUGGCUGGAGUGCGGGAGAGGCAGGCGGAAUUCCUGGUGUAGCGGUGAAAUGCGUAGAUAUCAGGAGGAACACCGGUGGCGAAGGCGGCCUGCUGGACCGCUACUGACGUUGAGGCUCGAAAGCGUGGGGAGCGAACAGGAUUAGAUACCCCCGUAG
rnacentral:rRNA from 1 species